CCGCACACGUGAAGGCUAUUUAAUAACGUCUGGGUGGUAGAGCCGCGGACCGCGUGGCUCAAUGGCGCGGGGCGGCGCCGGAGCCUCAGUUGCGCUUCACGCCCCGGAGGGGCUGCACGUGUCCUCGAUCCCGCUCGCGACUUAUGUAACCAUCCGCACGGUGAGUCUGCAGCCUCCGAGCCCCUUCCACCGUCGCUCGCCUCCAUCGACCCCUCGAAGCGACCCACGCGCGCUAAUCCACAACGUCGACAAUCGCGAACGUUCGCGGAACCGGCCGAUUCAUAUCGACUGAUAAGCUCACCUCCAACCCUCACGUUGUGCAAUAACCGUCAGCUGUGAGGUGAUAUAAUCGAUGCAGUAAGCACCGGUGCUAGAUUCGACAGACAGCGGAUAAAACAGGCUAAUUAGGUUUUUUAAUAUUAAUUAAAUCGACUUACGAAGCGCCUUCAAAUAACCCUAAAAAUAUCGUGAUAGAUAGGUUAAGUAAUAAUUACAAUAAGUGAACACAAGUGCCAAGUCGCAUUAUUCGUAGCAGCGCGUUUAUCAGUGGAUGCAUCUAGCGAGACAGUCAACGGUACCAUUUAUGGGCGUUAACAAUCGGACUGGUGAUAUAGUCUAGCGUUUGAGGAUUAGGUGUACCGUGAAGAGUCAGCUUCGGCCAGACUGUGCCCGGUCGGCAAGAUUGAAGUGGUGGCCGGGUGCGGGUGGGGAAGGCGCGCGCGCGUGCGGCCCUUCGCGCUGGGCCGCGUGGCCGGCAUGUUGGCGUCGCAGCGCUCGCAGUCGUGCAACGAGGAAGGCGCGUUCUUCGGCGCGCGCGCGCUUCGCCGGCCGCGCGGCAAGGGAAGCGGCAGUCCGCCCUGCUAGGGGUACGCCAUGUCGCUGCGCAGCCUACACCGGAGGCUCUCCUCCGCCAACAACAC
rnacentral:misc_RNA from 1 species